rnacentral:lncRNA from 1 species
GGGUCUGCUUCUUCAGCCAGCGUCUCCUGUUUUGAAAAUCCUCUGGCUCUUCUUUUGCCAAAGCCCCCAGACUCCACCCAUACCUUAUACACAAUGAGAGCCAACCAGGGGAAAAGUCUGAACGUGAGAACGGAGACGCUGAGAAACUGAGAUAAAGUACAUUGGGUUCUAAAAAGCCUGGAAGAUACAUUUUCCUGGACCAGUUCACUGCUUAAAGAAAUGAGUUUGUGGCUCGGAGCUACAGUAAAUACUGUUAGUAUUCUGGACAUGACUGAGGCGUUUUGUAUCAUUCUCAGCAUCUCAAGUGACCUGUCUCAUGUUCAAGAAUGAAAGCCGUAUAUUAUAUUGAAAGCAAAUAGAACUUCGCAGUAAAACGUUGGAAUUAAAAAAAAUAAAAUAAAAUCACCCAAAGGCCA